rnacentral:rRNA from 1 species
CAGUCGCCGCGGUAAUACGAAGGGGGCUAGCGUUGUUCGGAUUUACUGGGCGUAAAGGGUGCGUAGGCGGACUGAUAAGUCAGGGGUGAAAUCCCAAGGCUCAACCUUGGAACUGCCUUUGAUACUGUUAGUCUUGAGUUCGAGAGAGGUGAGUGGAACUGCGAGUGUAGAGGUGAAAUUCGUAGAUAUUCGCAAGAACACCAGUGGCGAAGGCGGCUCACUGGCUCGAAACUGACGCUGAGGCACGAAAGCGUGGGGAGCAAACAGGAUUAGAUACCCCCGUAGUCCCUGUCUCUUAUAC